rnacentral:misc_RNA from 1 species
AAGUCGUAACAAGGUUUCCGUAGGUGAACCUGCGGAAGGAUCAUUAUUGAAUGAACUUGGGGUUGGUUGUCGCUGGCUGCUUUGGCAGCAUGUGCACGCCUUCUCCUUUCAUCCACACACCCCUGUGCACUUGUGAGACUGGAGGCCGUAAAAAGCCUUUAGUCUGCUAAAUUCAUAUACAAACUCAUUUAAUUGAACUGAAUGUACUUGAUGUAACGCAUCAUUAAACUAAGUUUCAACAACGGAUCUCUUGGCUCUC